rnacentral:lncRNA from 1 species
GAAGGUGAAGCACAAAAACCAUAAAUGAUGAUUGGGGUCAUUAGCAGAAAACCUGACACAGUAAUGAUGAAACCGCCACUCACACCCCACACCGUUGGAUGAUCUUGAUCUAACGGCUAUAGUUCACUGACUAACCCACUACCUCGAAAGCAGGAAAAUCAAGUAACUGCUCAGAAAAUGAAACGACAACAUUCAAUCAUCGAAUUAAAACCUUUCUUAAGGUCCUUUCUUAACCGUUAUCAUACGGCUGCUUACCAAAGACUUGGGAGGGAUGAUGUACGGUACGGUACUCGUAACGGCUGGUUCUGCCAAUCGGUCUAUUUGCAAUUGACAUUUGCUGUUGGGCCGUUACUGGACCACCUCAUUAUUGGGCCCACCAGGACUUAGGAAAGAUAUACUAAAAACUAAAAGUAUGAAAUAAUGGCUGUUGAUAAAAUAGGAGUACAAGAUAUCCGGCAAGUUGUAUCCAGUAAGUUUGUUUAUAUUUUAUUCUGUUGAUUUUAUCUAUAUCAAUUCCAGGUCUAUAAAUAAAGAGUUAAGGUCACAAGCCAAGUAUGUCCAAUUCACGCCUCUCACAUAUAUUGAUCAUGCCAUUGAGAUUUCAC